rfam:Aspergillus ruber CBS 135680 unplaced genomic scaffold scaffold00023, whole genome shotgun sequence.
GUCUCCGUGGCGCAAUAGGCUAGCGCGUCUGACUGUUAUGCCCAUGGGCUGUUAUCAGGAGGUUGGAAGUUCGAGCCUUCCCGGGGACG